rnacentral:rRNA from 1 species
GAUGAACGCUGGCGGCGUGCCUAAUACAUGCAAGUAGAACGCUGAAGGAGGAGCUUGCUCUUCUGGAUGAGUCGCGAACGGGUGAGUAACGCGUAGGUAACCUGCCUGGUAGCGGGGGAUAACUAUUGGAAACGAUAGCUAAUACCGCAUGACAACAGUUAUUGCAUGAUAACUGUUUAAAAGGGGCAACUGCUCCACUACUAGAUGGACCUGCGUUGUAUUAGCUAGUUGGUGAGGUAACGGCUCACCAAGGCGACGAUACAUAGCCGACCUGAGAGGGUGAUCGGCCACACUGGGACUGGGACACAGCCCAGACUCCUAAGGGAGGCAGCAGUAGGGAAUCUUCGGCAAAGGACGGAAGGCUUACCGAGGAACGCCGCGUGAGUGAAGAAAGUUUUCGGAUCGGAAAAGUCUGUUAUAAGAGAAGAACGGGUGUGAAAGUAGAAACUUCACGCUGUGACGGUAUCUUACGAAAAAGGAACGGCUAACUACGUG